CUACGCCGCCCGGUCGCCAGGGAGAGUGAAUACAGCUAGGGACGUGAAAGGCAGAACGGGGAAGAUAACCGAAGGGUGGUUUGAGAAACCCACCAGGCCAACUGGGAAUUAGAAUUGAUUCAAAACUCCAUUGAUCGCCUGACCUCCAUAAGCUCCUACUCUGCUGCAGUUGAGUGCUGCCACUUAAAUCCUGCAGUCCCGAGAUCCGGUUAUAACCAAUGCAUUUAGAUUUUUCAUUUCGGUGGCAACAAUCUUCAUUAUGCUUCUUAGAGACAAGGCCUCACUCCAUUGCCCCUAGGCCAGGCCUGGUGAGUGACAGCAGCCCUGGUGCCCCAGCCUGCUAGGGCAAUGUGUCACCCAGAGGCUUCAAGGCCCUUCUCACCAUGGUACCCACCUCCUCGAAGCUGCCUCCCAAAGCCCUCUAGCUGCUGCUGCAGCCACAACAAGUGCCACCACCAGGGGCCUUCCAGCUGCCAGUGCAGGCUUUCCAGAGCCGGGGACUGGGGAACCUGCAGUCAUCACCUCAGCAAUUCUGGUGGCAGCCAGGCCAGCCAGGGCAGCGAUGAUGACCGUAAUGAAAAGUGGGAUGACAGCUCCACACUGGUGGAUGAGUUGAGAACACCAGGCAGAGGCAUGUACCUGGUCUUUGAUGGUUCAGUGGACCUGCACUACCAUUGCAGUGCAAAGUGCAAGAGUUGAAGCUUGGAAACCUUCACCUAGAUUUAGGAAGAUUCAUGGAAAAGUCUGGAUGUCCACGCAGAAGCCUGCUGCACGAGUGGAACCCUCAUGGAGAAUCUCUACCAGGGCAGUGUGGAGGGGAAAUGUGGGGUUGGAGCCCCCACACAGAGUCCCACUGGAGGACUUCCUAGUGGAGCUAUGAGAAGAGAACCACUGUCCUCCUGACAUCAUAAUGGUAGAUCCACUGGCAGCUUGCACUCUCAGCCUGAAAAAGCUACAAGUACUCAAGGCCAGCCCUUGAGAGCAUCUACAGGUGCUAAACCCUGGAAAGCCACAAGUGUGGUG
ensembl:lncRNA LINC00663 long intergenic non-protein coding RNA 663